rnacentral:rRNA from 1 species
UGGGGAAUCUUGGACAAUGGGGGCAACCCUGAUCCAGCGACGCCGCGUGGGUGAUGAAGGCCUUCGGUAUGUAAAGCCCUUUUCUCGGUGAGGAUGAUGACGGUAGCCGAGGAAUAAGCACCGGCUAACUCCGUGCCAGCAGCCGCGGUAAGACGGAGGGUGCUAGCGUUGUUCGGAAUUACUGAGCGUAAAGGGCGCGUAGGCGGCCUGUUAAGUUGGAUGUGAAAGCCCGGGGCUCAACCUCGGAACGGCAUCCGAUACUGGCGGGCUCGAGACCGGGAGAGGAGGGUGGAAUACCCAGUGUAGAGGUGAAAUUCGUAGAUAUUGGGUGGAACACCGGUGGCGAAAGCGGCUCUCUGGCCCGGUUCUGACGCUGAGGCGCGAAAGCGUGGGGAGCAAACAGGAUUAGAUACCCCUGUAGUCC